rnacentral:lncRNA from 1 species
GAGAGAGAGAGAGAGAGAGAGAAAGAAAAGAAAGAAAGAAAGAAAGAAAGAAAGAAAGAAAGAAAGAAAGAAAGAAAGAAAGAAAGAAAGAAAGAAAGAAAGAAAGAAAGAAAGAAAGAAAGAAAGAAAGAAAGAAAGAAAGAAAGAAAGAAAGAGAGAAAGAGAGAAAGAGAGAAAGAGAGAAAGAAAGAGAGAAAGAAAGAGAGAAAGAGAGAAAGAAAGGAAAAGAAAGAAAGGAAGGAAGGAAGGAAGGAAGAAAGAAAAGAAAGAAAGAAAGAAAGAAAGAGAGAGAGAGAGAAAGAAACGAAAGAAAGAGAGAGAGAGAGAAAAGAAAAGAAGGGCCUCAGCAAUGCAUAUUACAGAUACAGUACACUUUUUAAAAGUGAAAUAAAGAAAAGCAAUGGUCAGCCUAAAGUGCCUUUAGGUUUGUAACAAGCCAUAAUUGCACUUAAAAGACAAUCAAUAUGUGAUUGACCAAAUUGCAGAAGUAGUAUCCUUUUCCCAGGGACUUAACUUUGUCUUUGUUUUGUGGUUGUUAUUUGUUUUGUUUUGUCCCAAUCACUCUGCUACAAGGGAGAAAGCAAAAGUUUAGGACUGAACAACUGAAGAACUCCAGGGCCCCAGUUACUUUAUCAGUUUAUGAUAAAUAGCUCUUAUGGUAUGUGCCUUAUGGUUUCUUUCAGAAUAUGCUCUGUAGUUCAGACUUCAGAGAUUGGAAUAAGGAAACAUAUGGAAUGCAAUGCUCAAGAUGAGGCUUGAGCUACUGAGACAAUACCCACAUGGACUAGAAGCACAGCCCUUGGCAUUGUAGCCCAAUAAAAGCUAGAUUUAAGUUCCA